rnacentral:tRNA from 1 species
GCCCUGGUAGCUUAACCUUAAAGCGCCGGUCUUGUAAUCCGGAAAUCGGAGGUUUAAAUCCUCCCCAGCGCC